CCUACGGGCGGCAGCAGUGAGGAAUAUUGGUCAAUGGACGAGAGUCUGAACCAGCCAAGUAGCGUGAAGGAUGACUGCCCUAUGGGUUGUAAACUUCUUUUAUAUGGGAAUAAAACGUUCCACGUGUGGGAUUUUGUAUGUACCAUAUGAAUAAGGAUCGGCUAACUCCGUGCCAGCAGCCGCGGUAAUACGGAGGAUCCGAGCGUUAUCCGGAUUUAUUGGGUUUAAAGGGAGCGUAGGUGGAUUGUUAAGUCAGUUGUGAAAGUUUGCGGCUCAACCUUAAAAUUGCAUUUGAAACUGGCAGUCUUGAGUACAGUAGAGGUGGGCGGAAUUCGUGGUGUAGCGGUGAAAUGCUUAGAUAUCACGAAGAACUCCGAUUGCGAAGGCAGUUCACUGGACUGCAACUGACACUGAGGCUCGAAAGUGUGGGUAUCAAACAGGAUUAGAUACCCGAGUAGUC
rnacentral:rRNA from 1 species